rnacentral:rRNA from 1 species
CAAGGUCUCCGUUGGUGAACCAGCGGAGGGAUCAUUACUGAGUUUACGCUCUACAACCCUUUGUGAACAUACCUACAACUGUUGCUUCGGCGGGUAGGGUCCCCGUGACCCUCCCGGCCUCCCGCCCCCCCGGGCGGGUCGGCGCCCGCCGGAGGAUAACCAAACUCUGAUUUAACGACGUUUCUUCUGAGUGGUACAAGCAAAUAAUCAAAACUUUUAACAACGGAUCUCUUGGUUCUGGCAUCGAUGAAGAACGCAGCGAAAUGCGAUAAGUAAUGUGAAUUGCAGAAUUCAGUGAAUCAUCGAAUCUUUGAACGCACAUUGCGCCCGCCAGCAUUCUGGCGGGCAUGCCUGUUCGAGCGUCAUUUCAACCCUCAAGCUCUGCUUGGUGUUGGGGCCCUACAGCUGAUGUAGGCCCUCAAAGGUAGUGGCGGACCCUCCCGGAGCCUCCUUUGCGUAGUAACUUUACGUCUCGCACUGGGAUCCGGAGGGACUCUUGCCGUAAAACCCCCCAAUUUUCCAAAGGUUGACCUCGGAUCAGGUAGGAAUACCCGCUGAACUUAAGCAUAUCAAUA